CAGCAGAAACGGCAGAGGGGCGGGGCCGCCAGAGACCGGCAAAGGACCGGCCGACGGCACGACCGGCUGAGGGGGCGGAACUGGCAGCUGUGUGUCCGGCUGAGGGGCGGGACCGCCACAGGAGUGGGCGCGACCUGCAGAGGACCGUCUGCCAGCCUCGGGUGCGACCGGCAGAGGGCCGGCCGUGGGCGGGACUGGCAGAGGUGCAGCCGUGGGCACAGGCUCAGGCGGAGCUGAACAUUUUAAGCAAGAAUAAAAAUAAUGGCAGUAACACAAAAAAAUAUGAUUUUGGGAACAUUUGUGCAUAUAAGAAAAACUGUUUGAAAUUUAAAUAAAUUUUUGAAUAACUUACAGAUACUCAGCAGAAACGGCAGAGGGGCGGGGCCGCCAGAGACCGGCAAAGGACCGGCCGACGGCACGACCGGCUGAGGGGGCGGAACUGGCAGCUGUGUGUCCGGCUGAGGGGCGGGACCGCCACAGGAGUGGGCACGACCCCCGGAGGAGCGGGCCCGGCCCCCAGAGGAGCGGGUGCGACCUGCAGAGGACCGUCUGCCAGCCUCGGGUGCGACCGGCAGAGGGCCGGCCGUGGGCGGGACUGGCAGAGGUGCAGCCAUGGGCACAGGCUCAGGCCGAGCUGAACAUUUAAAGCAAGAAUAAAAAUAAUGGCAGUAACACAAAAAAAUAUGAUUUUGGGAACAUUUGUGCAUAUAAGAAAAACUGUUUGAAAUUUAAAUACAUUUUUGAAAAACUUACAGAUACUCAGCAGAAACGGCAGAGGGGCGGGGCCGCCAGAGACCGGCAAAGGACCGGCCGACGGCACGACCGGCUGAGGGGGCGGAACUGGCAGCUGUGUGUCCGGCUGAGGGGCGGGACCGCCACAGGAGUGGGCGCGACCUGCAGAGGACCGUCUGCCAGCCUCGGGUGCGACCGGCAGAGGGCCGGCCGUGGGCGGGACUGGCAGAGGUGCAGCCGUGGGCACAGGCUCAGGCGGAGCUGAACAUUUUAAGCAAGAAUAAAAAUAAUGGCAGUAACACAAAAAAAUAUGAUUUUGGGAACAUUUGUGCAUAUAAGAAAAACUGUUUGAAAUUUAAAUAAAUUUUUGAAUAACUUACAGAUACUCAGCAGAAACGGCAGAGGGGCGGGGCCGCCAGAGACCGGCAAAGGACCGGCCGACGGCACGACCGGCUGAGGGGGCGGAACUGGCAGCUGUGUGUCCGGCUGAGGGGCGGGACCGCCACAGGAGUGGGCACGACCCCCGGAGGAGCGGGCCCGGCCCCCAGAGGAGCGGGUGCGACCUGCAGAGGACCGUCUGCCAGCCUCGGGUGCGACCGGCAGAGGGCCGGCCGUGGGCGGGACUGGCAGAGGUGCAGCCAUGGGCACAGGCUCAGGCCGAGCUGAACAUUUAAAGCAAGAAUAAAAAUAAUGGCAGUAACACAAAAAAAUAUGAUUUUGGGAACAUUUGUGCAUAUAAGAAAAACUGUUUGAAAUUUAAAUACAUUUUUGAAUAACUUACAGAUACUCAGCAGAAACGGCAGAGGGGCGGGGCCGCCAGAGACCGGCAAAGGAUCGGCCGACGGCACGACCGGCUGAGGGGGCGGAACUGGCAGCUGUGUGUCUGGCUGAGGGGCGGGACCGCCAGAGGAGCGGGCGCGACCUGCAGAGGACCGUCUGCCAGCCUCGGGUGCGACCGGCAGAGGGCCGGCCGUGGGCGGGACUGGCAGAGGUGCAGCCGUGGGCACAGGCUCAGGCCGAGCUGAACAUUUUAAGCAAGAAUAAAAAUAAUGGCAGUAACACAAAAAAUUAUGAUUUUGGGAACAUUUGUGCAUAUAAGAAAAACUGUUUGAAAUUUAAAUACAUUUUUGAAUAACUUACAGAUACUCAGCAGAAACGGCAGAGGGGCGGGGCCGCCAGAGACCGGCAAAGGACCGGCCGACGGCACGACUGGCUGAGGGGGCGGAACUGGCAGCUGUGUGUCCGGCUGAGGGGCGGGACCGCCACAGGAGUGGGCACGACCCCCGGAGGAGCGGGCCCGGCCCCCAGAGGAGCGGGUGCGACCUGCAGAGGACCGUCUGCCAGCCUCGGGUGCGACCGGCAGAGGGCCGGCCGUGGGCGGGACUGGCAGAGGUGCAGCCAUGGGCACAGACUCAGGCCGAGCUGAACAUUUAAAGCAAGAAUAAAAAUAAUAUACUCAGCAGAAACGGCAGAGGGGCGGGGCCGCCAGAGACCGGCAAAGGACCGGCCGACGGCACGACCGGCUGAGGGGGCGGAACUGGCAGCUGUGUGUCCGGCUUAGAGGCGGGACCGCCACAGGAGCGGGCACGACCCCCAGAGGAGCGGGCCCGGCCCCCAGAGGAGCAGGCGUGACCGCCAGAGGAGCGGGCGCAACCUGCAGAGGACCGUCUGCCAGCCUCGGGUGUGACCGGCAGAGGGCCGGCCGUGGGCGGGACUGGCAGAGGUGCAGCCGUGGGCACAGGCUCAGGCCGAGCUGAACAUUUUAAGCAAGAAUAACAAUAAUAUAUCCUCAGAGAACCGGAACCGCUCAGGACGAACGGCCAUUGGUCGUCUGGUAACCCGGGCAGGUACUGGACAUAUGAGGGGGCGUACUGGUCUAUAUAUAUAAAUAAAUAUAAAAAUAUUCAGGGACUACCCAAUUGCUGUUUACAUAUUUACAUAAAUAUGGCUAAAACAAAUAAUACAAAUGAUUAAGUAAAACAAAAGGUUAAUAGCUGAACUCACGGAGCAUUAGAUCUUUGUACGCUCGCAUCCACCUCCUCAUACGUCUCAGUAACAGUCUGCAGGAAAAAUAACAAACUGAGAAUUAACAAAUGAUCAUUAAACUACUUUUUAACUUAAAAUUGAACUAGUUAUGAUCAAAUUUAAACCUGCGAGAUUUUCGCAGACUGAAUCCUGCCCGGGCCUGGCCUUCGACCAUGCUGGGGUUUUCCAAAAGCUGAUAAGCAAGAAUAAAAAUUACAAGUUAAAGAACAAUUGUGAAGCCCUCAAGUCUUAAUAAAUAUGUAUUACAACAUUUCAAACUUACAGACUCCCCGGGACAAACCGCGGGACACAGAACCUACUCGAGCCUCCACCGGCCAUCCUUGAGGGAACUCCUCAACUAGCUUUGUCCCACUUGGCUGGAAAUGCAGAAAACAGAGAAUUAGUACAUGCACAUUCAAUUACUUUGUAACGUGGCACUAGUUAUGAUAAGGGCUCUGGUAAAACUCUAACCCGUGAAGCACAAGUGGGACGCUUGUGAGGAGUUAGUCCCAGGGAUCGUGGACAGCUCAU